CACGGGGAGGUAGUGACGAAAAAUAACGAUACGGGACUCAUCCGAGGCCCCGUAAUCGGAAUGAGUACACUCUAAAUCCUUUAGCAAGGAUCAAUUGGAGGGCAAGUCUGGUGCCAGCAGCCGCGGUAAUUCCAGCUCCAAUAGCGUAUAUUAAAGUUGUUGCGGUUAAAAAGCUCGUAGUCGAAUUUGUGUCCCGCUCCGCCGGUUCAUCGCUCGCGGUGUCCAACUGGCGUGUCCGCGGGACGUCCUGCCGGUGAGCGAAGCUCGCAAGGGCCUAGCUCAACUGAACGAUCCCGUCGCGGUGCUCUUCACUGAGUGUCGAGGCGGGCCGGCACGUUUACUUUGAACAAAUUAGAGUGCUUAAAGCAGGCUAAAAUAUCGCCUGAAUAUUCUGUGCAUGGAAUAAUGAAAGAGGACCUCGGUUCUAUUUUGUUGGUUUUAAGAACCCCGAGGUAAUGAUUAAUAGGAACGGAUGGGGGCAUUCGUAUUGCGACGUUAGAGGUGAAAUUCUUGGAUCGUAGCAAGACGGACCGAAGCGAAAGCAUUUGCCAAAAACGUUUUCAUUGAUCAAGAACGAAAGUUAGAGGCUCGAAGGCGAUCAGAUACCGCCCUAGUUCUAACCAUAAACGAUGCCAACCAGCGAUCCGUCAACGUUCCUCCGAUGACUUGACGGGCAGUUUCCGGGAAACCAAAGUUUUUGGGUUCCGGGGGAAGUAUGGUUGCAAAGCUGAAACUUAAAGGAAUUGACGGAAGGGCACCACCAGGUGUGGAGCCUGCGGCUUAAUUUGACUCAACACGGGAAAUCUCACCAGGCCA
rnacentral:rRNA from 1 species